CGCGUAUUGAAAACCCCCCACUGUCCUACUUGCAGUUCUCUUUUGCGCAAAUGUGUCUUGCAAAGACGUCCUCAAUUUCCUUGGCACUGUCUUCAUUUCGACGCCCGUCUCUCUGGGCCGAGAUUCUGCCUCAACCCAACAUUGCAUGCAAAACGAAAUGGAAAUCUCCACAGGACGUCCGUUUUCUUUUCAGAGUGGAACCCACGCGAUUCUCAGCAGACACACUUUUGAUUUUCUCGGAUUUCGUCUGCACAGUCUCGCGCCCCGACUCUAGGAAAAACACUGCGGUCUGCCAUCGGGAUCUAAACUUUCUGCAGCAGUUCUAUUCCCCGAAGUCCAGAAUGCUUGUCUUGUGGUUUCUCUAUUUAACACAAACGGAACGUUUUCCGUGAUUCCUUGACCAAUGACGCAGUUGAAUUUUUCUCGUAUCUGUUUUCCUCGAUGCUCGCUGCUCUCCAAUCGCAGUCCUUGGAGCUACUUUCGGUUCACUCGAACCCCUGUUCAUUUCUUGUCACAAAGGUUGCCUCGAAACUCUGCCCAUGUUCUACAGUAGAGGAAUGUCC
rnacentral:lncRNA from 1 species